rnacentral:rRNA from 1 species
UACGUAGGUGGCAAGCGUUGUCCGGAAUUAUUGGGCGUAAAGCGCGCGCAGGCGGUCCCUUAAGUCUGAUGUGAAAUCCCACGGCUCAACCGUGGAAGGUCAUUGGAAACUGGGGGACUUGAGUACAGAAGAGGAAAGCGGAAUUCCAAGUGUAGCGGUGAAAUGCGUAGAGAUUUGGAGGAACACCAGUGGCGAAGGCGGCCAGCUGGGCCGUCCCUGACGCUGAGGCGCGAAGGCGUGGGGAGCGAACGGG